GCCGUCUGGCCACUUCUGCCAAGAGCCCCUCAUUCGUAAUGAGGGGGUCGGGGGGUCGAAUCCGUCUUGCGGCACCA
rnacentral:tRNA from 1 species